GAAAUCUGCAGUACAUAUAAAAUGAAUAGUUGGUUCCAAGAAACAGACCCCUAGAAUUAAACAGAACUACUAGAGAACAGGUUUUAAAUCAACUAACGUAAAAAAUAGCAGUAUAUGUUUAUGCACCUUGUAACACGAGGUGGUAUCUCCUCCUCUCCCUGCCCGGCCCCAGGUCAUAGUACUGAAGUAAACUUUAAUUUGCUCGUCUUCUAAAGGAGAGCAUGAAAACGCAAUCAUCUGUAUAAAACCCCUCACCUCCCAACGUUAGCAGAAAAAGGCAAUUAAUUUAUUCUACCAAAGGAGGUGGAAGAGUGGAUUUACGUUAUUGUAAAUAGAAACAUUUGAUUUCCAAGCCUCUCUAUUGCAGAUUUUUCCACCAGAAAGCCCAUAUGGCUCAACUUUUAAUUACUUUGGCUAAUGCUAUAUGUAGUAAUUCUGUGGUGAAUGCUUAAGUGUUUCAUUGCUGGUUUCCAUGGCAACAUUACAUCAGAUUACAGACAGCUGGCUCCACAGUUUUAAACCAUAACAAAUUGACCAAGCCAAGGCACAAAACUAGAGCUGCUUUAAAGAGAUAGUGCACCAUUCGCCUGCCAGGGCGCUGAAUGAGGGGCCUAUGGGGCCCACUUGGCAGGCCAAGGAGGGUGGAGCCUCCUUCCUUCUCAGCUUCUUUUGGAACAUGUGCAUCCUUGACACAUCUGCAAUGUUCUAAUAGGAAAGACAUGGGGCCAGCGUGGAGGACUUUUCAUAACACAGCUACGCAGAGGAGGAUCGGAAAAAAGGGAACACAAUUAAUAGCAUCUGUAGACAGAAAAGUGUGUGAGUCGAGCAAAUGGAACGGCAGCAUCCCGCGCUCUCCAGCCCGUCCCUGCAGGUCUGCACUGCCAGCGGCGUUAACCGUAAGGGAAGGAAGCGGGUCGGCUGCAGCAUUAUGAAAAGCUGCAUCAGGCAAGGCAGUCUGCAGUCCAGUCCUCCGCACUGAAAGCCUCCACGAUGACAACUGGGCUCCAACCACGUACACUCAGUCUCUUGAGAAUCCCUUUAUUCUCAGAUUAAAAUCCCCUAUUCUCCCCCCAAAGCUAUGCCUUAUUGGGUGAGCGUGCUGGGAAAGAAGGCUCGGGGCUCCAUAGCAGGGAAGGAAAGAAGGGAAGGAGGACAAAUCUCGAAGAAGCUGAACAGAAAAGAGGAAAGCAUCCUAGCUGGGAGCAGUCAAAAAAGCUUUUCCUUGCAGGGACAGAAAGCACAUUUUCCCUUUCACGUUAAACACAUCCAACGAACUUACCGGCUUCGGCAUUUAGCAGGCCUAAGGGGCAAUUUCGAGCACGUCUGGUCCCCCCGCCCCCUCCCCACGUUGAGCGCGUCUUCACUCCUGUUCCGUCAACUCUGUGAUCUCAAAGUGAGGAUCAGGCACUCCUCAAACAUGUUCCUUUGGAGUUACAUGAUCAGACAGGCGCCACCAGCACGGCUUAGCAUCCGAAGGAGGAAAAAGUGAAGACACUGGGUUCAAUUAGCUGCUUUCUGCCUGCUGACUGAUUCCCCAGUUACUUGCUAACUGCAUAACUUGUAAGAAAGGCAUAAGUCAUCAGCUCUAAGCAAAUCUCCUAUUCACCACAAGGAAAAAAGGGAGUGUUGUACGUGGCAAACAAUCCCUGUUUUCACUGACGAAGGCUCCCUGACCUCCCGCUGGCCUCCAGUUCCUUAAUUACUGUCUAUGGAAUUCCAGAGAAAGAAAAAAAAGGACGCGGGAAUCUGAGCAAAUCCGGGACAAGGACUAACCCUUACAAGUGACUGAACUUAAAAAAGAUCUCUUUCGCAGAUACUCCUCCAAACAUCCCCUGAAGGGAGUAGUCUCGAUUGAAAAUAGACACCUUCCAAUGGCUAUUUUUGAAAUUACUGAAUUAAAACUUGUGAUUUUGGUUUU